AUUUUAUCUUUUUUAGUCAAUGUCGAUGAGUGAUUUCUUACAAGGUAAAGAGGAGUAGUGGUUCAUCAGGACAAGGCACUUGGCUUAUGAGAGAAGUAUUCUUGCAAACUGCUGGCACCUUUGGAUACUGCUCCCAAGGGUGCCACAUAAACCAUUUCUGCUUGAGCAGAGAGAGGAGCAUCUGGGCAAGCUCAGGCUUGUGUCUAGAUGUUACCGCAACGUGUACAGCUAGUGUUACAGCUCUUGACUGAGGAAAGAACCAAGCGGCACAGAGUCGGAGAACAGCCUUUAUUCCUCCAGCAGGCUCAGCACGGCAAGUGUUACAACAACUUCCUUCUCAUCUCAUCUUCUGGCCCCCCUUCCUGGUUCUCAUCCUGCUUAUAUACCCUUGGUAGGACUCAGAAAGUAUCCAAUCAACUACAAGCUUUAACAUCCAAUCAGCAACAGGCUUUAACAUCCAAUCAGCAACAGUGGGACUCAAAAAUUACCCAAUCAGGAUCAUGAGAGCAGUGCCUCCAGAUGACAGGUGCAGGCAGCGAGCACCCAGAGCCCAGGCCUGGACGGCGGGUGUCAGCGCCAGGGCCGGAAGCAGGUAGGGGAUGUGGGCCCGAUGGCAUUCCAGCACGCGGGCCCCACUGCUCCCCAGCAGUGUGCCCUCCAACCACCCCGCGCAGCGCCCACCCUCAGGGAGGCGGAGCUAUGGAGAGGCGGCAAGCAGCCGGGUCCCUGCGCCGGACGUUUUCCGCGUCACAGAUAGCUCAGGUUUCACUAGGUUUUCAGAGAGCAGUCAGAUCACCUAGUGUCUAUGAUCAGCUUAGUGGCAAGCCAGAAGCUGUUUCUCCAAAGGACACUGUCAUUUCCCAAAGAAGGCAUAAUUUGUUCCAUAUCCCGUAGGGUCUUGCCACGGCUUCUCACAGCAUCCCGCUAUGUCUUAGACUCUUUAAAAGCCAUUGGAACUGCCGCCACAGUGGCUGAAGAGGGAAUGUUUCGCACUGCAGCCAGGACUAAUUGAGUGACUUUGCCCUACUCUGGGCUCUGCUCAAAGCUAACAGCUUUUCCAGUUACCUAUCAAAGUACUUUGACGACCACGUUACCAGUUCACAAAUACUGCCUUUUUUAGUUAUGGAGAAAUGGAGCAGAAAUUAUGAACAAAGAGGAACACUCACAGGCACAUCCAGACCUUGAGCUUCCAUGAUUCCAAUUCUAAGUCAAUGCCUUCAUCACUAAGAAGAGAUUUCCCAAAUGGCCCUCAUCAGCACGAUAAAUGAUAAUCAGGAACAGAGUGUAUGUUCAAAACUGCCUACUGUGGCUGCAAACCAGAUGACAAAACUAGCAGUAACAAAAUAGUGGUCUGCAUCCUGCUUACCUAAUAAUUUAGAGGAGGAGAAAAAUGAGGAUGAGUUAUAAAAGAAGGUUCAAAGAGGAGGGCCAAGAGUUCUGAAAACCACGCUCAAACUCUCAUCCUGUGAAUGGCUGGAUUAUAAUAUUCAUGGAAUUCCCAACCUCACAGAAGUCUGUUAAAGUGAGGGCGUUAUUUGGGGAAAAAACAGAACCCUAAAAAUUGGAAAGAUGCCAUGAAGGUGGAUCCUGACAAAGCUGGGAACAUUGAGCCCCUAAAUUCUGCUGAGCCGUCUUUGCCAGUAGAGGAAGACCCUCCACCCUGUCUGAGGUGGCAGCCCUCACGCCUGAAACCGGAACGUCCUCCCUGGAGGUGGCUGACUCGCAAGUCACUGCUGAUUGUCCCCAGAACCCCUGCCACACUCUUUACUUCUGUAUCCAUAACUAGACUCAAGUCCAAGCCCCAGAAGGUGAGGUAUAAAGUAUGGCCUGUGAGGAGGUAUGCUACUCUCCAAAAGAACUAAAUGAUUUUUUCCAAUUUAUACAAGCAGAAAUCCAAGGAGUAUGUGUGAGAAUGGAUAUUAAGGGUGUGGGAUAAUGAAGGAACCUAAAGUUGGAGCCAGUGAAAUGUAUUGAUACACAUGUAGUAAGCAGUGAUUCUCAACUUAAUGUUGUAGCUGAAGGGGUCAGAAAGAGCUCUAACAUUUUGUUUGUUUGGUCGGUCGGUCGGUUGGUUGGUUAACACUUGGACCCAAAGAUGGCCCACAGUAAAGAAGUUGAAAUGUCUGAACUGCGGCGUCUACCAUAGAGAAGGGGUCUGAGUGCUUAGAUUGCACUGUUAGAAUGCAAUUCACCCAAAUACUCCGUAUCCUCUUCUGGGAAAAGGUUAGCUUAUUUUGGCUAUAUGCAGGAUAGUUGUAUCAUGUUGGGUAGAAAUGUGACUUUGUUACUGACUUUAGUUAAAAAUUAUGUAGUUUGAGGAGUGUGUAUGGUGUUGAGUUCAUAAGGGAUGGACAGGGAUGGUCUAUUGAUUGUCAACUUAGCUUCAUUUCAAGUCCCCCGUUAUCCAGCAAAACACUAAUCUAGGAGUUUCUGUGAAGACAUUUUGGUCACAUGAUCAUAGCUGAUAUUUAUAAUGACCUUCUUUCAUUACAUAAGAAACAUUUUUUUCAAAAUAUUUUUUCAAAGCUUUUCUGUAUUCAUUAUCACAAUAAUCCUAUAGCAUAAAUGCUGAGUCAUUAUUCUCAAAAGACAGGCAAAUAAACAGGAAGGGAAGAUGUGUUUCUCAGAACCACACAGAUACAGACUUUAAAACAGUAAAUAUAUAUCCUUCCAUUUCUGUUAUUUUGUUCAUUCUGCUUAUCAGCAACUGUAGCCGAACUUGAGGGAACCAUGGUAGCUGUUACCCUUCCUGGCUGGAAGUGCAAGUUCACAUGCUGGAAACAUUUUAACUGCUCCCUUAACUUUCUCGGGCACAAGUAAUAGACUUGAGAAGCUGCUGCACUGCUCUGUCCUUCAGUUGGAAGAGCACCACCUGGAACUUUGAAUUCCCUCCUCUUUUUCCCUCUAUGACCCUUCCUCAAGCCCGAAAAUCCCGCUACAGUGGGGAGUCUGCUUUGCCAUAGACUCUCAGGACACAUUUUUUGUAUAAUUAAUAACCUUUAAUACUUCUGUCAGCUACAAAAUCAAAUGACUGUCAUUCUUAACAUUUAAUCUCAUCAAUUUUGACAUUCUCUAAGAAUUGGAUUUCUGUAAAUGCCUGGUGACACAAUGGUAUUAGAUGGAGAAAAUGUAGGUAACAAAGGAACCAAGCCUGAGAUUAUGUUAAAACUGACAUUUCUGAAGAUAAGAGUUUGCAAAAACCACCUAUAGAUGAAAAAGUAGAAUUAAAAGAGAGUCAGCUGAAAGCAGGAAAAUAGAAGAGAAAAUGAGAGAUGACUAGGAAAGGUACUGACGGCCAAUUCUAAUUUGGGGAAAUAUAUUGCCACAAGAAAUCAAGAGCUACCAGCAGACCAUAGGGGUAAUAUGCUUGUAAAUAGGGGGUCUUGUAAAGAUAAAAGCAGUUUCUGGAUCACAGCACGGGAGGAAACUGACGAAAGCCUCCAUUGUGUUGGUGCUUUCACUAGUCUAUAAAUGUGAAAAAAUUUCAUGGAAUGAUAUGCCCUUACAAAGUGGGUGCAUGUGAAAACUAGUGAAAUGCAAAUAAAAUCUUUUGUUGUGAUGUCAGUUUUCUGGUUUUGAUAAAUGUGCGAUGGUUAUAUUGUUGCAGCAAUGCGUACAGCUAGCGUUACAGCUCUUAUUCGUUUGACCUGGGAAACAACCAAGCAGCACAUGAAGAGUCAGAGAACAGCCUUUAUUCUUGUACAGCAGGCUCAGCACACCUAGUAUCACAGCUCUUGGCGCUGAAGGAGAGAGAUGCUGCUCAGUGGCGUCCACCGUCCAGGUGCAGUCCACUCACCAUCCAUACCAUGUAUCUCAGCCCUCUUUCUGCACCGUUUGUGACGUUCUCCCUCUGCACCCUUCGCCGAUCAGGUGGCUUCAAGGGGCCAACUCCGCCCACGCCGUUGGCUGUCUGCUCCGUCCGCCAUUCCGGUGGCUCCAAGGGGCCAGCUCAGUCAGCUUUCCCGGUCAGGGAACCAAAAUGUUGCGGCAGUGUGCACAGCUAGUGUUACAGCUCUUGGUUGGGGAAAGAACCGAGCAGAACACAAAGAAUCGGAGAACAGUCUAUUCUUCCACAGCAGGCUCAGCACACCUAGUGUUACAGCUCUCUUCGUGUCUUCCGAUCUUCU